rnacentral:tRNA from 1 species
GGGGAUAUAGCUCAGUUGGUAGAGUGUUUACCCGGCAUGCACAAGGCCCUGGGUUCAAUCCCCAGCACUACCA